UAAUCGACUACAUUUAUUCAACUUAUAGUUAGCACAUUUUUCGGUCAACUGCAAAAAGAGGCUUUUUUCGGGUGCAGCUGGAAAUGGGCCGCUAUGCCGAGGUAUCGUUUAUAUCGGCACUAUCAACGAGUUCGCUGAAAAUGUUUCAAUCUAGUAUCAACAUCAAAUGUCCGAUGUUUUCAUUUCAGGAUCUAACAUCGAUGUUUUAUCGAUGUCCCAAAUUGCCAACAUCGAUGGCAAAAAUAUCGAACAACGAACGAAUUACAUCGAUGUUUGCGAAACAUCGAUAUUUUUCUCCCAUCCUAACUCAUAAGAACUGAGAAACUCGACAAAUCGAAAAACAAUAACAGUUUCGUCCGUUUCAGAAGCAAAAUCAAUUACCGAAGACAAAUCAAUCGUCUAAGUUCUGUCAACUAAACAACUUUUGUCUUAAUUAAACGACAAAAAGAGAAUUCUGGGAGUUUCAAGAAGCCGGGCAUUUAUUUCACACUCGAAUACAAAUUGAACGGUAAUCCGGAGCAACAUUUUUUCCAUGCCCGAUAACGGAGCAUAUCUUUAAUUGUUUUUUUCGCAUCGAAGUAAUCAACCUAAGCGAGCGUCAUUUAUUUUUUACUUCCUCGUUUUUAGUUCAUUAAUCAGGAAACCAGAAGUGUCGCAUGAAAUCAUCUCGCCAAAAUGAAGAGACAAAGCGAAGAUUUUCGUUCAGUCGUUAGCUUUUUCGAUUUUUAUCACCGGAACGACCGUUAGAUUAGACCCAACAUGAAUACCGAUUCUGUUAAUUAGAAGACGUUUAAGUUAUCUUUCAGCUAACGCCUCAUCGUUAGAGGAUCGCAUUUCAAUUAAGAAAUAAAAAGUGUAGAAUGACUUCGGGAAUAAAUACUAAGAAAAACGUUAAUUUAAUAAGUAGGUAUAAGUGUUAAUUGGCAGAUUUUAUCUCGAGGAUCAGUUUCGAAGUAAGUAAGUAUUAGUGCUUUGAUACCUGAAAUAAUUCAAUUAAUUUCCAUUCAGUUAAUAUUUAAUCUGUUUUCUCUGAAACAUUUUUAUAGUCCGUAGAUCUGUCGUGACUCAAAGACAGAGACCGAGAGAACCAAAUGAUCUCGUGACCGGCUAAAAACAAAACUAUUCCGAUGAGGAUUCAGUCAGUUAAUAACCCUCGAAAUUCCCUUGAAAAAAUCAUUCACCUAAAGACAACGGUCAACUUUGUUGUUGGGGCCCUAACUGAUUCUUUAUUGCUCAGCAUUAAUGGCUAUCCCUUGUAGUCUAUGAGAUGGCCAUCAUCAGUGUCGCAUAGUUAUCUCUGUGGGAGCUAAUGCGUUCUAGUUAACUAACGGUGAAGAAUGACAAAUCGGUAUUCAGUUUGAACAGGCCCCAGAAAUCUUGAUGGCCAAUGAAAAAUGAAGAUGAAGCGUCCAAAGGAAUGAGUAAGCUCGCACGUGGUUCAACGAAGAUCGAUCUAAAUUGAGCGUGAUUAUUUAACGAAAAAUAAACAGAAAUUAAGCAAAGUUCCGAACCGAGCAUCACUUAGCAUCCCGGAAAGGAUAAUACGGACGAUGAGCCAAAGCUAAAGUUUUCGUUCAAUUUACACAGCGGCUUUGUAGGAGUGGGUUUUUAAUUUAUUUGGCUGGAAGUUUUACAACAGGGCCGUCAAAUGAAUUUAAAAGAAUCGCUCUCAAACGACUGGAUUAAUAAAAGCAAUAAGUAAUUUGAAGUUAAUAAAAAACUUUCGUCAAA